rnacentral:rRNA from 1 species
AUUGAACGCUGGCGGCAUGCCUUACACAUGCAAGUCGAACGGCAGCACGGGUGCUUGCACCUGGUGGCGAGUGGCGAACGGGUGAGUAAUACAUCGGAACAUGUCCUGUAGUGGGGGAUAGCCCGGCGAAAGCCGGAUUAAUACCGCAUACGAUCCACGGAUGAAAGCGGGGGACCUUCGGGCCUCGCGCUAUAGGGUUGGCCGAUGGCUGAUUAGCUAGUUGGUGGGGUAAAGGCCUACCAAGGCGACGAUCAGUAGCUGGUCUGAGAGGACGACCGGCCACACUGGAACUGAGACACGGCCCAGACUCCUACGGGAGGCAGCAGUGGGGAAUGGUGGACAAUGGGCGAAAGCCUGAUCCAGCAAGGCCGCGUGUGUGAAGAAGGCCUUCGGGUUGUAAAGCACUUUUGUCCGGAAAGAAAUCCUUGACUCUAAUACAGUCGGGGGAUGACGGUACCGGAAGAAUAAGCACCGGCUAACUACGUG